rnacentral:rRNA from 1 species
UACGUAGGGGGGCAAGCAUUGUCCGGAUUUAUUGGGCGUAAAGAGCGUGUAGGCGGCCAGGUAGGUCUGCUGUGAAAACUCGAGGCUCAACCUCGAGAUGUCGGCGGAAACCAUCUGGCUAGAGUCCGGAAGAGGAAAGUGGAAUUCCUGGUGUAGCGGUGGAAUGCGCAGAUAUCAGGAGGAACACCGAUGGCGAAGGCAGCUCGCUGGGACGGUACUGACGCUGAGGCGCGAAAGCGUGGGGAGCGAACAGG